rnacentral:rRNA from 1 species
UACGGGGGGGGCAAGCGUUGUUCGGAAUUACUGGGCGUAAAGGGCUCGUAGGCGGCCAACUAAGUCGGACGUGAAAUCCCUCGGCUUAACCGGGGAACUGCGUCCGAUACUGGAUGGCUUGAGUUCGGGAGAGGGAUGCGGAAUUCCAGGUGUAGCGGUGAAAUGCGUAGAUAUCUGGAGGAACACCGGUGGCGAAGGCGGCAUCCUGGACCGACACUGACGCUGAGGAGCGAAAGCCAGGGGAGCAAACAGG